rfam:Candidatus Pacearchaeota archaeon CG1_02_39_14 cg1_0.2_scaffold_2574_c, whole genome shotgun sequence.
GUCCCCGUAGUUUAGUGGAUAGAACAAAACCUUGCGGAGGUUUAGACCGGAGUUCAAUUCUCCGCGGGGACG